rnacentral:rRNA from 1 species
UCUUUUAAUUGGAGGCUUGUAUGAAUGGUUGGACGAGGCAUUAACUGUUUCAAUUAAAAUUUUAGAAUUUUAUUUUUUAGUUAAAAAGCUAAAAUUUUUUUAAAAGACGAGAAGACCCUAUAAAUCUUAAUAAUUUAUUUAUUAAAUUUAUAAAGAAUUAUUAAAAUUUAAUUUAAAAAAUUAUUUUAUUGGGGUGAUAAUAAAAUUUAUUUAACUUUUAUAUAAUUUAAACAUUAAUAUAUGAAUACUUGAUCCAUUAUAAUGAUUAAUAAAUUAAGUUACUUUAGGGAUAACAGCGUAAUUUUUUUAGAGAGUUCAUAUCGAUAAAAAAGAUUGC